GUUUUCUUUCCAGGAACUCAUCCCCGUUUAGCCAAACGACGGGGCAUCAAACAGGAAGUUGGACGAUCAGUCAGCCAGCCAGCAGCUUGACUUUCCUCCGAGGGAGGGAAGCGUCGCGUCGCGUCACGUCUCAAACUUGAAAGACACUACGUACGGACGUAGGGAAGGGAAGGGGGCACUGCCCUAGAUGAGAUCCCUGAAGCCACCCCGUGAAUGAGUUGAGAAAAGACCCCGUCAGGCCCAAAUAAUUGGAACGUCAGUGCAUGGACGCCGGCCAGGAAGCUCAGCGGCGAAAACGGGUCGUUCCGACAGAGGGUGACGCUUCUUACUACAACGUGUUCUCUGUUCAACUUUCUGCUUCACCCUCGCUCGCCAAUACUUGACGGCAAUAUGUCGGAAAGUCUCGCUCCAAUACAAUUUAACAAGCACAGCUGAU